CAGUAGCCGCGGUAAUACGUAGGUGGCAAGCGUUGUCCGGAAUUAUUGGGCGUAAAGCGCGCGCAGGCGGAUAGGUCAGUCUGUCUUAAAAGUUCGGGGCUUGACCCCGUGAUGGGAUGGAAACUGCCAAUCUAGAGUAUCGGAGAGGAAAGUGGAAUUCCUAGUGUAGCGGUGAAAUGCGUAGAUAUUCGCAAGGACACCAGUGGCGAAGGCGGCUCACUGGCCCGAUACUGACGCUGAGGCACGAAAGCGUGGGGAGCAACAGGAUUAGAUACCCCUGUAGUCCCUGUCUCUUAUACAC
rnacentral:rRNA from 1 species